AAUUUUGGACAAUGGGGGAAACCCUGAUCCAGCCAUCCCGCGUGUAUGAUGAAGGCCUUCGGGUUGUAAAGCACUUUUGGCCGAGAAGAAAAGGUACGCCCCCAUACGGGAAACCGCUGACGGCAUCUGCAGAAUAAGCACCGGCUAACUACGUGCGUGCACCCUCGGUAAUACGUAGGGUUCAAGCGUUAAUCGGAAUUACUGGGCGUAAUGCGUGUGUAGGCGGUUCGGAAAGAAAGAUGUGAACUCCCAGGGCUCGACCUUAGAACUGCAUUUUUAACUGCCGGGCUAGAGUAUGUCAGAGGGAGGUAGAAUUCCACGUGUAGCAGUGAAAUGCGUAGAUAUGUAGAGGAAUACCGAUGGCGAAGGCAGCCCCCUGGGAUAAUACUGACGCUCAGGCACGAGAGCGUGGGGAGCAAACAGG
rnacentral:rRNA from 1 species